UAUCUCUCCUUAUUCAACAUUUUUUGGUGUUGGAUACAGGGACUUGGGGUCUUUCUCGUCGGAACUCUCUCUCACGAUUGUGUCCCGGUGAACCCUUUAAAUACAGCAAGCUCCCAUCUGUAUUGGAAAUACGCAAACUUGGGGAUGGCGUCGUAGCAAUCACUCUUAUCGGUAUUGUCGAAGCGCCUAUACGUACCUCUAAACUGCGGUGUCAAUCCUUUCUCAUGGGCGAAGCUUGGCGACUGGCAAAGCGCCAUACUCCUCUUUACUGGAGUACACGAACAA
rnacentral:misc_RNA from 1 species